CCUACGGGUGGCAGCAGUGAGGAAUAUUGGUCAAUGGACGAGAGUCUGAACCAGCCAAGUAGCGUGAAGGAUGACUGCCCUAUGGGUUGUAAACUUCUUUUAUAUGGGAAUAAAAUGUUCCACGUGUGGGAUUUUGUAUGUACCAUAUGACUAAGGAUCGGCUAACUCCGUGCCAGCAGCCGCGGUAAUACGGAGGAUCCGAGCGUUAUCCGGAUUUAUUGGGUUUAAAGGGAGCGUAGGUGGAUUGUUAAGUCAGUUGUGAAAGUUUGCGGCUCAACCGUAAAAUUGCAGUUGAAACUGGCAGUCUUGAGUACAGGAGAGGUGGGCGGAAUUCGUGGUGUAGCGGUGAAAUGCUUAGAUAUCACGAAGAACUCCGAUUGCGAAGGCAGUUCACUGGACUGCAACUGACACUGAGGCUCGAAAGUGUGGGUAUCAAACAGGAUUAGAUACCCCUGUAGUC
rnacentral:rRNA from 1 species